rnacentral:rRNA from 1 species
UGACCGCUGGCGGCGUGCUUACCACAUGCAGGUCGACCGGGAUCCAAGGGGUGCUUGCACUUUUUGGUGAGAGUGGCGAACGGGUGAGUAACACGUGAGUAACCUGUCCUUUUCUUUGGGAUAAGCAUUCGAAAGGGUGUUUAAUACCUUAUGUUCUGUCUGCCUCGCAUGGGGUGGGUGGGAAAGGCUUUGGCCGGAUUUGGGUGGGCUCGCGGUCUAUCAGCUUGUUGGUGGGGUGAUGGCUUACCAAGGCUUUGACGGGUAGCCGGCCUGAGAGGGUGGUCGGUCACAUUGGGACUGAGAUACGGCCCAGACUCCUGCGGGAGGCAGCAGUGGGGGAUAUUGCACAAUGGGCGAAAGCCUGAUGCAGCGACGCCGCGUGGGGGAUGAAGGCCUUCGGGUUGUAAACUUCUUUUGCUCUGAACAAGGCAUGCCAGUGGGUGUGUUGAGUGUAGGGGUUGAUUAGCGCCGGCUAACUACGUG